rnacentral:rRNA from 1 species
UGCGUAGGCGGAAUAUUAAGUCAGUGGUGAAAUCCUGCAGCUUAACUGUAGAACUGCCAUUGAUACUGGUCUUCUUGAAUAUAGUUGAGGUGGGCGGAAUGUGUAAUGUAGCGGUGAAAUGCUUAGAUAUUACACAGAACACCGAUUGCGAAGGCAGCUCACUAAACUAUCAUUGACGCUGAGGCACGAAAGCGUGGGGAGCGAACAGGAUUAGAUACCCUGGUAGUC